AACGAACGCUGGCGGCAGGCCUAAUACAUGCAAGUCGAACGGAUGUAGCAAUACAUUAGUGGCGCACGGGUGCGGAACACGUGGGAACAUACCCUUUGGUAAGGAAUAAUGUCUGGAAACGGACACUAAUACCUUAUAAUGACUUCGGUCCAAAGAUUUAUGGCCAAAGGAUUGGCCCGCGUCUGAUUAGGUAGUUGGUGGGGUAAUGGCCUACCAAGCCUACGAUCAGUAGCUGGUCUGAGAGGAUGAUCAGCCACACUGGAACUGAGACACGGUCCAGACUCCUACGGGAGGCAGCAGUGAGGAAUAUUGGACAAUGGGCGCAAGCCUGAUCCAGCCAUGCCGCGUGAGUGAAGAAGGCCUUAGGGUUGUAAAGCUCUUUCAAUAGUGAAGAUAAUGACGGUAGCUAUAGAAGAAGCCCCGGCUAAAUUCGUGCCAGCCGCCGCCGUAA
rnacentral:rRNA from 1 species